AACAAGACAAAAUAAAUUCUAUAAAAAAAACGUAAACAAACUUAUUCGAUACGAUAGUCGAUUAGCCUUAUUCGAUAUAAUAAGUCGAUAACAGAUCGCGGUAACAGCGCCUGUUAAGCUGUCAAGGCGAACUAUCUGGCAACUCUGCAAACUGACAAGCUACCCUUCACUAACCCAGGAAAAGUUCUUUUGCGAUCCAGAAUCAAAAGUGAACGGUUGGAGUUAUAGCAAUUAAAAACCCAAGCCAAAUCCACAUCCAAAUCCCACGUGGGAAAAGUUAGUACCCAAAGUGGCACCCAAGUCUUCCACCAAGUGCAGCUGAAUAUUGACCGUGAACGUGCGCAGCCGUUGGCAUCAGCACGCGUGUCUGUGUAUGUGUGUGUGUGUGUCUGAAACAUUCAGGUGAGCAGGCGGAUAAGUUGCCUAUUAGGUUAUUAAUAGAAGUGUUUUAGGUCAUCCUCAAAACCCCGUAAUAGUGGGCGUAGAGCUACACCGGAGCCUACGACAAACAACGCGUCCCGUCGCGACCCAGAAGUCCACGGCGGAGCCACCGCGUGCCUUGCUGGGUAGACGUUCGUGAAACGCUUUCCUCGAUCAGCUCCUAAACGUGCGCGAAUCCGGACCAGACCCAAGCCACGAUAGGCGAGGAGUUCCCUGGUAGCCGGAGACGUGUGCGUGAUUGGGGCAGCAUAGGAUCAGGAGCGGUGCUGAAACUUUUCGAGGAACGUGUGGGAGGACAUAACCUCACUUUGUGAAGCAGCACCUCGUGUUCGGCAACAUGACCUCGGCCAUGUAAAGGGCAGUUUUGCGAUCGCUGCAGCAAUCAUUUAGAGGCGACUAAAUAACAACAGCAACAACAAGGAGACAUGCGCAAUAAAUUGUGCCAGUAGCAGCGGAGCAAAAUAGUUGGCAACAUAUACAUCGAAUCUUCGUAAUUUAAUUUAAAUUUCAUCAAAGCACCCUGCGCUCCAGUCUACAGGCCUGCGGACUUCGAGGGAUUUGGUUUCGUGAGUACAAUAUAGACUCGAUCAUGUAUUAUUGCCGCUCAAAGAAAGCGUAUGAAUAUUUAGGUAUCGUAAUGCAUAAAAUCUACUUUAACUAUUAUUUGACCCAGCUACAUAUAUAUAUAUAUUCCUUUAUCUUUUGAAUAUUUAACUUUUUGUAUUACAUCCAAAAAAAUUCCAUUAUUAUUAUUAUUAAAUCCAUUAUUAUUUGUUAAUUAACCGGUAUUACAACCGUUUAUGGGAAUUAGGCUAAGCACAAUCUAGAAAGAAGAGCAAUCAUGUUUUAUAAUGAAGUUGAUUAAUUGAUAUUGAAAUGAAGUAAAAUUAUAGUUUAAUGGGCACCUGA